rnacentral:RNase_P_RNA from 1 species
AUAACAUUCCGUUCUAUCGCUUUCAAUUUAUCAAUUUAUGAGGAUGAGGCGGUUUAUUGAAAGAGGAAAGUCCGGACUCUAUAGGGUAACAUAGCGGAUAACAUCCGUCAUCUUCUGAGCAAUUAGAGGAGAGGACCAGUGCAACAGAAAGCAAGUACAGGUAAUGCUGUAGUGAAAACAGGUAAACUCUAUGUAGAGCAAGACCAAAUAUAGGGAGAGAGGUAGCCCGCCUCAUUUGAUCCCAGGGUAGGUCGUUAGAUCCUGGCAGUAAUGUCAGGGCAAGACAAAUGAUAGAAUCUGGUUCAUUGUUAUUGAACUAGAACAAAAUCCGGCUUAUAGGAAUGUAAAUAAA